GUGGCUCAAUGGUAGAGCCUUUGCUUUGCAUGCAGAAGGUCCCAAGUUCAAUCGCUGGCACA
rnacentral:tRNA from 1 species